rnacentral:rRNA from 1 species
UUGACGGGGGCCCGCACAAGCGGUGGAGCAUGUGGUUUAAUUCGACGCAACGCGAAGAACCUUACCUGGCCUUGACAUGCAGAGAACUUUCCAGAGAUGGAUUGGUGCCUUCGGGAACUCUGACACAGGUGCUGCAUGGCCGUCGUCAGCUCGUGUCGUGAGAUGUUGGGUUAAGUCCCGCAACGAGCGCAACCCUCGCCGUUAGUUGCCAGCACGUUUGGGUGGGCACUCUAACGGGACUGCCGGUGUCAAACCGGAGGAAGGUGGGGAUGACGUCAAGUCCUCAUGGCCCUUACGCCCAGGGUGGCAAACGUGCUACAAUGGCGUGUACAAAGCGAUGCAAUAUCGUGAGAUGGAGCAAAUCGCAAAAAGCACGCCCCAGUUCGGAUUGGAGUCUGCAACUCGACUCCAUGAAGCCGGAAUCGCUAGUAAUCGGAGAUCAGCCACGCUCCGGUGAAUACGUUCCUGAGCCUUGUACACACCGCCCGUCAAGUCAUGGAAGCCGGGAGUGCCCGAAGUCGCUCUGAUUCAGGAGUGCCCACGGCAAGUUCGGUAACUGGGACUAAGUCGGAACAAGGUAGCCGUAGGAGAACCUGCGGCUGGAUCAC